CCUACGGGAGGCAGCAGUGGGGAAUAUUGGACAAUGGGCGAAAGCCUGAUCCAGCAAUGCCGCGUGAGUGAUGAAGGCCUUAGGGUUGUAAAGCUCUUUUACCAGGGAUGAUAAUGACAGUACCUGGAGAAUAAGCUCCGGCUAACUCCGUGCCAGCAGCCGCGGUAAUACGGAGGGAGCUAGCGUUGUUCGGAAUUACUGGGCGUAAAGCGUGCGUAGGCGGUGAUUCAAGUCAGAGGUGAAAGCCUGGAGCUCAACUCCAGAACGGCCUUUGAAACUAGAUCGCUAGAAUUAUGGAGAGGUAAGUGGAAUUCCGAGUGUAGAGGUGAAAUUCGUAGAUAUUCGGAAGAACACCAGUGGCGAAGGCGACUUACUGGACAUAUAUUGACGCUGAGGUACGAAAGCGUGGGGAGCAAACAGGAUUAGAUACCCUGGUAGUCCACGCCGUAAACGAUGAUAACUAGCUGUUCGGGCUCUCAGAGCUUGAGUGGCGCAGCUAACGCAUUAAGUUAUCCGCCUGGGGAUACGGUCGCAAGAUUAAAACUAGAAAUGACGUGNGNGNGAGCAGCCAAGCAGGAUUAGGG
rnacentral:rRNA from 1 species